CUUUAGUGAACUAUUCUUCACAACCUGGGUCCAAUUGCUUGCUGGGAAAGAGCUUGCUGCUGUUGGGUGAUCCAUGGAGCUAUGCUAUGGUGGACCGUUACCCCUCAGGAACACCUGGCAAGUGACACCUGCUGGUCCUGGCUUUACUGCUCUUCUCUCCAGAACCAUGGCUGGGAGGAAAGAACCAGCUAUGGAGUAGGGCAGCUGCCUGCCUCUCUGAUCUGAACAAGCAAGAUCAGCAUUCUCAGAAAGCAACAAAGUGAGACAAUACUUUUCUCUGGAUCAGGGAUAGGACAAGCCUACAGGGCUACAGGGAAGGGCACCAAAACAUACCCAUUUCCA
rnacentral:lncRNA from 1 species